UCAAUUCUUCGGUGCUUUCAAUGGUCCAGCUCUCACAUUCAUACAUGAUUACUGGAAAAAUGAUAGAUUUGACUAUAUGGACUUUUGUCAGCAAAGUGAUGUUUCUGCUUUUGUAUAUGCUGUCUAGGUUUGUCAUAGCUCUUCUUCCAAGGAACAAGCAUCUUUUAAUUUCAUGGCCGCAGUCACUGUCUGCAGUGAUUUUGGAGCCCAAGAAAAUAAAAUCUGUCACUGUUUCCUCUUUUUCCCCGUCUAUUUGCCAUGAAGUGAUGGACUGGAAGCCAUGAUCUUAGUUUUUUGAAUGUUGAGUUUCUAGCCAACUUUUUCACUCUCAUCUUUCACCCUCGUCAAGAUGCUUUUUAGCUCUUUACGGUCUGCCACUAGAGUGGUAUCAUUGGCAGAUCUGACCUGGAGUUGUCUGCAGCUCAGAUCAUGAGCUCCUUAUUGCAAAAUUCAGACUCAAAUUGAAGAAAGUAGGGAAAACCACUAGGCCAUUCAGAUAUGACCUAAGUCAAAUCCUUAUGAUUAUACAGUAGAGGUUCAUAACAUUGUAUAGGAGGUGGUAAGCAAAACUAUCCCAAAGAAAAAGAGAUGCAAGAAGGCAUGGUGGUUGUCUGAGGAUGCUCUACAAAUGGCUGAGGAAAGAAAAGAAAUCUAAAGGCAAGGAAGAAAGGAAAGAUAAACCCAACUGAGUGCAGAGUUCUAAAGAAUAGCAAGGAGAGAUAAGGCCUUCUUCAAUGAACAAUGCAAAGAAAUAAAGGAAAACAAUAUAAUGGGAAAGACUAGAGAUCUCUUCAAGAAAAUUGGAGAUAUCAAGGGAUCAUUUCAUGCAAGGAUGGGCAUGAUAAAGGACAGAAAUGGUAUGGACCUAACAGAAGCAGAAAAUCUUAAGAAGAGGUGGCAAGAGUACAUAGAAGAACUACACAAAAAAGAUUUAAUGACUGGGAUUACCAUGAUGGUGUGAUCACUUACCUAGAGCCAGGCAUCCUGGAGUGUGAAGUCAAGUGGGCCUUAGGAAGCACUGAAGAAAGCUAGUGGAGGUGAUGGAAUUCCAGCUGAGCUAUUUCAGAUCCUAAAAGAUGAUGCUGUUAAAGUGCUACACUCAAUAUGCCAGAAAAUAUGUAAAACUCAGCAGUGGCCACAGUGAAAGGUUGCUGCCAUAGGCUGUGUGCUAUCCCAGGAUUCGUGACCUCCAGAGGAGAGGAUUUCGAUCUGGGGACAGAGACCAGGCUUGACCACUGGAGCUUUUUGUGUAGCAGAAUUUUAUUUCAGUGUAAGAGAAAUAGAGAAAGCUUCUGAUGUACACAUCAGAAGGAGGCAGAAAGAAUGCCCUCUUGCUAGUUUUUAGCAAGGGGUUUUUAUGUCUGUUUGUAAGCUAUUAAUCAAAUAAGAGAGACACCUCAAGGCUGAGGGAGUUUCACCAGGCCCCUCUCCCACAGUAUGCAUUUUUGAGAUAGGAUGGCAUGAGGUGUGUCAUCCCCCACAAUAAAGUAAUUGACAUGAAUACGGUUUGUUGAACCAUUAUCAGACCAAGGUUUGAGAAAAGAAAAAAACUUAGUUUUAGGUGGAACCAUUUUGAAGAAAGGGAGAUUCCAAAGUAAGUACAUUGUUUCAUUACCAUAGCUUAAGAAAAACAUUUCCAUAAGAAAAUGGAAAUGGUUAGCUCAAGGCAGAACCAGGUGUCCUAACACAGAGUUAAAAGAAGCUUCUUUUAACUUUAUAUAGAGAAGGAAAGAAACAUUUGCCACUUGCAGUUUAUUUCCUCCUGCCACUUCGGGACCUCUGACCUUCCUACCUGUUACCCUCUCAACAGGACUGGAAAAGCUCAAUGUUCAUUCCAAUCCCAAAGAAGGGCAAUGCCGAAGAAUGUCCAAACUACCAUACAAUUGCACUCAUUUCACAUGCUAAUAAGGUUAUGCUCAAAAUCCUUCAAGGUAGAUUUCAGCAGUAUGUGAACCGAGAACUUCCAGAUGUACUGGGCUUAGAAAAGGCAUAGGAACCAGAGAUUAAAUUGCCAACAUUCAUCAGAUCAUAUAAAAAGCAAGGGAAUUCCAGAAAAACAUCUAAUUCUGCUUCAUUGACUACAGUCAAAAGCCUUUGACUGUGUGAAUCGCUUACAAAGUGUGGGAAAUUCCAGACCACCUUAUCUUUCUCCUGAGAAACAUGUAUGCAGGUCAAGAAGCAGCAGUUAGAACUGGACAUGGAACAGCAGACUGGUUCAAAAUUGGGAAAGGAGUAUGACAAGGCUGUAUAUUGUCACCCUGCUUAUUUUACUUAUAUGAAGAGUACAAUCAUGUGAAAUGCUGGGGUGGAUGAAUCACAAGCUGGAAUCAAGAUUACUGGGAGAAAUAUCAAUAGCUUCAGAUUUGCAGAUGGCAUAAGAUAGUGGUCUAGUUUCAUUCUUCUGCAUGCGUCUUUUGGUUUUCUCAAUACUGUUUAUUAAAGAGACUAUCCUGUCUGCACUGUAUAGUCUUAGUUCCUAAUUCAUUGACUAUACACACAUGGGUUUAUUUCUUGGCUUUCUAUUCUGUUCCAUUGAGCUAUUUGUCUGUUUUUAUGCCAAUACCAUACUGUUUUCAUUACUAUAACUCUGCAAUAUAGUCUGAAAUCAAUGUUUAAAAAACUCAACUGGGUAAAUUUGAAGAUCUAAUUUACUUUUUUCAAAGAUUCAUGAAUCAAGCAGCAUCCUAUCUAGUAAAUAGAAAGAUGCUCCAAGGAGUCAUAUAAAAUGGAAGGGUUUUAUAGGGUCUUAUCACAAGUAACUCUGCUUGGGUCUUAUUUCUUUUUAACAUCACGAAGUAUGGUGCCUCUGUUUGUUCUUUCUCAAGAAUGCUUGGCUAUUUGGGGUCUUUUGUGGUUUUAUACAAACUUAGGGAUUGUUUGUUCUAUUUCUGUGAAAAAUGUCAUUGGCAUUUUGAUGGGGAUUGCACUGAAUCUGUAGAUUCCUUUGGGUAGUGUGGACAUUUUAACUAAUAUUUGUCCAGCCUGUGGGCAUAAAAUAUUUUUUCCAUUUUAUUUAUGUCUUAGUUUCUUUCAUCAGUGUCUGAUAGUUUCCAAUGUACAGAUUCUUCAUCUCCUUGCUUAAAUUUAAUCUUGCUUUUUAAAAGUCUCUUUGAUGUAAUUAUAAAUGGGAUUAUUUUCUUAAUGUCUUUUUCUGAUAGUUCAUUAUUACUGUAUUGAAAUACAACUAAUUUUUGUAUAUUGACUUGGUAUCUUUCAACUCUCCUGAGCUUGUUUAUUAAUUUUAACAGUUUUUUGGUGGACUCUUUAGGGUUUUCUGUAUAUAAUUCAUUAUAUAUUUUCUCUAUAUUAUAUAUCAUUUUAUUUAUUAUUAAGAAAGUUUAAAACAUAUCUUGCAG
ensembl:lncRNA